GGACUCAUAGCCUAGAGGUUUAAAACCGGGCAAUCUGGAUAAGGCAUCAGCCUCCUAAGCUGGAGAUCGGGGGUUCGAAUCCCCCUGGGUCCG
rnacentral:tRNA from 1 species